GGCUCGGUAGCUUGGUUGUUAAAGCGCUCGUCUAGCGUACAAGAGUCCUGGGUUCAAAUCCCACCCGAGCAC
rfam:Aedes aegypti strain Liverpool supercont1.369 genomic scaffold, whole genome shotgun sequence.